GUUUCAGCCGCCGCGGUAAGACGAACCGAGCGAACGUUGUUCGGAAUCACUGGGCUUAAAGGGCGCGUAGGCGGGCAAUCAAGUCUGUGGUGAAAUCCGGCAGCUCAACUGUCGAAUUGCCGUGGAUACUGGUUGUCUCGAGGGAGGUAGGGGUGCGCGGAACUGAUGGUGGAGCGGUGAAAUGCGUUGAUAUCAUCAGGAACUCCGGUGGCGAAGGCGGCGCACUGGACCUCUUCUGACGCUGAGGCGCGAAAGCCAGGGGAGCAAACGGGAUUAGAAACCCCCGUAGUCC
rnacentral:rRNA from 1 species